AUGCUUGCUUUAAAACUACAUGUCCCAGAUGCCCCAGUUCCUCUUCCCUCUUAACAUUCCCCACCCCCCUUUUGUCCUCACUCUUUCCUUAUUAAUAACAUGGACCAUCUUGACCAGACUUGGACAUCUGUGAAUUCUUGGAAGGCAUCCUGGAAGCCUGCAGCUUGCUCCACCCUUCACUUACACCUUCCCGGUGAGGCGCCCCCUCACCUUGUCAUAGGGACCGUGUUAAGUCACUUAUUUCCACGAAUCCUGCUUUCUUCACUGUCCAGCUUUCAUAACCAUAAAUAGAAACUGGAGAUAUACUUAAGGAUCUUGUCUAGCUCAUUCAUAGCUACCCUUUCACAUCCUCGUCUUCUGGUUAUUUGACUGCGGUCUCCAUUUCAAAUUAUGACUGGGCU
rnacentral:lncRNA from 11 species